GGUUUAAUUCGAAGCAACGCGAAGAACCUUUACCAGGUCUUGACAUCCCGAUGCUAUUUCUAGAGAUAGAAAGUUACUUCGGUACAUCGGUGACAGGUGGUGCAUGGUUGUCGUCAGCUCGUGUCGUGAGAUGUUGGGUUAAGUCCCGCAACGAGCGCAACCCCUAUUGUUAGUUGCCAUCAUUCAGUUGGGCACUCUAGCGAGACUGCCGGUAAUAAACCGGAGGAAGGUGGGGAUGACGUCAAAUCAUCAUGCCCCUUAUGACCUGGGCUACACACGUGCUACAAUGGUUGGUACAACGAGUUGCGAGUCGGUGACGGCGAGCUAAUCUCUUAAAGCCAAUCUCAGUUCGGAUUGUAGGCUGCAACUCGCCUACAUGAAGUCGGAAUCGCUAGUAAUCGCGGAUCAGCACGCCGCGGUGAAUACGUUCCCGGGCCUU
rnacentral:rRNA from 1 species